rnacentral:tRNA from 1 species
UGGAAAGGCCAAAAUGCAAAUUUGGUGAAGCACCCCAUUAGGUGCCGGGGCUUCUCCCGUUUUACAGAGACGGGAGAAGA